UACGUAGGGUGCAAGCGUUGUCCGGAAUUAUUGGGCGUAAAGAGCUCGUAGGCGGUUUGUUGCGUCGGCUGUGAAAUCCCGAGGCUCAACCUCGGGUCUGCAGUCGAUACGAGCAAACUAGAGUGUUGCAGGGGAGACUGGAAUUCCUGGUGUAGCGGUGAAAUGCGCAGAUAUCAGGGAGGAACACCGGUGGCGAAGGCAGGUCUCUGGGCAACAACUGACGCUGGAGGAGCGAAAGCGUGGGGAGCGAACAGG
rnacentral:rRNA from 1 species